rnacentral:rRNA from 1 species
UCCUGGCUCAGGAUGAACGCUGGCGGCGUGCCUAACACAUGCAAGUCGAACGAAGCAUACGGACCGGAGAUUCGUCGAAGGACUGUAUGACGUUAGUGGCGGACGGGUGAGUAAUGUAUGAGCAACCUGCCUUUCAGAGGGGGACAACAGUUGGAAACGACUGCUAAUACCGCGUAACGUAUCGUGAGGGCAUCCUCGUGAUACCAAAGGAGCAAUCCGCUGAAAGAUGGGCUCAUAUCUGAUUAGCUUGUUGGCGGGGUAACGGCCCACCAAGGCGACGAUCAGUAGCCGGACUGAGAGGUUGAACGGCCACAUUGGGACUGAGAUACGGCCCAGACUCCUACGGGAGGCAGCAGUGGGGAAUAUUGGGCAAUGGGCGAAAGCCUCGACCCAGCAACGCCGCGUGAAGGAAGAAGGUCUUCGGAUUGUAAACUUCUUUUAUGAGGGACGAAGGACGUGACGGUACCUCAUGAAUAAGCCACGGCUAACUACGUGCCAGCCGCUGC